UAGUGACAAGAAAUAACAAUACAGGGUCAAACGAUUCUGUAAUUGGAAUGAACUAAGCUUAAAACCCUUUAUGAGUAACAAUUGGAGGGCAAGUCUGGUGCCAGCAGCCGCGGUAAUUCCAGCUCCAAUAGCGUAUAUUAAAGUUGUUGCAGUUAAAAAGCUCGUAGUUGGAUUUCGGUUGAUAUAAUAUUUGCUCCUCAGGAGUAUUUAUUAUUAUUAAUCUUACCUCCCAUGCAUCCGCGUGGGGGAUUUUACUUUGAGAAAAUUAGAGUGCUUAAAGCAGG
rnacentral:rRNA from 1 species